CCUCCCUUCACGUUGGGACUUUCCUGCCCAACAGGGAUCCUCAUACACUGUGAGGUACCCCUCUCCCAUCCCUUCCUGGCAGGGACCCCCUUUCUGUUAUCCUGGGAUAUCACUGUGACAGGGCACCCCUAAAUCCAGCAAGCACCCUGUCUGCAAGGAACCCAGCCUGUCUGGAACAUCUGUUGGCCAUCUGGACUGCCCACUGGGAUCUCCCUCUACCCUCAGCCAGGCGUGGUGGCUCACACCUGUAAUCCCAGCACUUUGGGAGGCCAAGGCAGGCAGAUCGCUUGAGGCCAGGAGUUCGAGACCAACGUGGUGAAACCCCAUC
rnacentral:lncRNA from 10 species